GGUAAUUAACCUAAGUUGUCUCAUUCACAUCACCUAUAUACCAUGGAUUGUGGGAAGAAAACCACUGUAGCAAAAUGGCCCUGUAGUAAUUGCAAAUUGAACACCAACGAUAUUAAAAGUUUACUGUUGGAAUCUUUUUCUGGGAAUUUGGCUCUAUUACUUGAAGAAUUAUAACUGAAAUCAAAAUUGGUAUACAACAACCCAUGUCCUCAUAAUAAAGGCUAAACACAGGGUGAAGCGAAUUGUUACAUUUUAUUAUAGAACACAUGACCCAUUAUGAUAGAAAACUAUUCAAAUGUUGAAAGUUAUAAACAGACCCUUAGAAUAGGAAAUUAGUCAAAUGAUCAUGUUAACUAUGGCCCGUUAUAAUAGUAAAGUAUGUCAAAAACAUAAAUUACGUUGGUGAUACACAUAAUCAUCAAUUUCUAAAGAUUAGCGUUUCAUUCUUUUUUGGCAUUUGUUAAGACUUCUGAUGGAUACAUUUCACUUGUUAUUAACUAAUUCACAAAUAUAACUCAAAAGUCUAUUCAGCACUUACAUAAUUGUUGUCUUAAUUUGCAUUAAUCGCAGGUAUAUGUUCACGUUUGUUUAUAAAACCUCUGAUGUCACAGGUCAGGGGUCGCCGAAAAAAGGUCAAAGGCUUUGAGCUUCAGGUGUGUUUUCAAGAAAAAUUGCAAUUAGUCUAAAGCUAAAGUCGCUAUGAAAGUCACACUUCAGCAUUUUUAGUUUCAUCCUUAAACAAUUUUAUAAGCUUAAUAUACAGAGAUGUAGCAAUUUGUUCUGGGUACACUUUAAGGAAAUUAAAAGCAAACAAAAAAGGACAGAAUAGGCAUUGAUUGAGCUGUAUCACAAAAUCAUUUAAUAUGUCCUUUCCUUGUGUGUAAAAUAAAACAAGGUAUGACACAAAACACAAAUCAAUGGUAAAAUCUUCGUCUAAAAGAUACACAGCUGACCAAUCAGAAUAGAACAAGGUAUGACACAAAACACAAAUCAAUGGUAAAAUCUUCGUCUAAAAGAUACACAGCUGACCAAUCAGGAUAGAACAAGGUACGACACAAACACAAAUUAAUGGUAAAAUCUUCGUCUAAAAGACACACAGCUGACCAAUCAGGAUAAAACAAGCAAUAUGUAUUGUGUACAAUGAGUUAGCACUGUAACAUUUGGUUUCUAUUACUUCAAUUGUCAUGUUACAACUUCAAAUCAUCCCAGACACCGGGGUAUCACCAAGGAACAACAGUUCUUAAGAUAAAUAUUGUUAUUAUAGAGAAAUGCUGUGAUGUCAUGGAUAUAAAUAACUCUUAUAUGAUAAACAUUUCCAUUUAUUUGAAUCAUAUAAAAUGUAACUUUUCGCACUUUUGAUGAGCUAAGCUAAAAUAUUUGUAAUACUUCUUCCACAAAUCUUACAUUAAAAACCUCAUUUUACAUCCUGUAAUAUGGCAAUGGUGAGUCACCUACGAUUGAACAUGAAGAUCAAAACAAAGAAAGACAACUCCCAGAAAUA